rnacentral:rRNA from 1 species
UACGUAGGGUGCAAGCGUUGUCCGGAAUUAUUGGGCGUAAAGAGCUCGUAGGCGGUCUGUCACGUCGGCUGUGAAAACUCGGGGCUCAACUCCGAGCCUGCAGUCGAUACGGGCAGACUAGAGUUCGGUAGGGGAGACUGGAAUUCCUGGUGUAGCGGUGAAAUGCGCAGAUAUCAGGAGGAACACCGGUGGCGAAGGCGGGUCUCUGGAACGGUACUGACGCUGAGACGCGAAAGCGUGGGGAGCGAACAGG